AGGAGAUGUAGAUGCGUAUAAGUUUAAUCAAGUUCAAUGUUAGAAGCAGCUUGAGUGGAGUUAAGGGUGUGACUCCAUCAGCACAGCGGGAUAACUCUUGUCACAGCCAGCGUCCCCCGCGUUACAUUACAAAGAAUUACAGACAUUUUCAUUAUAAGCCCUGACAGAGAGGCUGAGCUGCAGCGCGGCCCCGGCUCUGGCUCGCAGGGGCCCGCCGGUGGGAAUGGGCUUUCACACCACAUUUGUUAUUUAUUGUUAAUUUCCUGCCACGUAAUCAUCCAAAAAUGCAAACUGACUGCCGCAAAAUUAAGCAGAAAAUUAACUGGCCUCGGGGUCACGGGGGAUGCGGGCGACCGGCGUGCCCGGCUGAUCGACGCUCGUGUUCUCUCUAAUUUACUGAGCAUGCAUCGCUGAGUCCGCGGCCCGAGCGCAGACACCAUCAGAAUCACAGAGAGGGAGAAAAAAAAGGCGGCUGAGAGAUAGAUGGCUACGAGGAGGCCAGGAGUCAAAGGAGAACGGGCACGAGAGAAGAAACUUCUGCACAUUUUAUCAGGAUUUUCUGUGAGAAACCAACAUCAAGAAGAUCAGAAUUGUGAGUUGGAGGGAAAAUAAUGCAUGAGUUGUCAACCCCACUUUACUCUGAUACUCCUAGAUAAAAUCCCGGAGGAUUGUGUUGACUCUGGAGGAGCUGCAGACACAACGAGUAUCCAUGCACUCUACUAACCUGGACUCUGGGAGAGAAAAAGGAAGUUUGACAUGUAGGAAACACAACAAACAUGAAACAUGGUGGUGGCAAUAUCAUGCUGUGGUUUUAGCAGGGACUAGAAAGUCAGAGUUGAUAAGACACCCAGGGAAGAAUUUUCUCUUGUCAAAUGAGAGAAACUUUGAACUGUAUUGAGGAAUAUAAUAACUGAAAAUUCAUGUCUCCUAGUUUGAGAAACUGGUGCUGCAUUUUUUUAGUGAGCUGAUAUGAAUAUGGACGGAGCUAAUCAGAGAAGAAUCCUGGAAAAAAUAAAGACCGGAGGCAAAGUUUUAGCUUCUAGGGGAAUAAUGACCCUAAAAACACUGGAAGAGCUGAAAUGGAUUGCAUCAAAGCAUGUUCAUGUUUUAGAAUAGCCCAGAUGUAAUAUAAUUGUAAAAAUGCUGUUAAGAGUUGCUCUAUAUCCAGUCUGACUCAGAUUAAGUUACCAACGUAUGUUGAACACCUAAACACCUCAGUUUUUUAUUUAAAAAAAUAUUUUCACUUCAGAAUUAUGCACUUCUUUACAUGUCACCUCAAAUCCCCUUACAACACUCUGAAGUUAGAGGUUGUAAUGUGACAAAAUGUGAAAAAAAGUUCAGAGGGUGUGAAUACUUUUGCAAGGCACAGCAAGGGACAGAAGUUCUCUUUAUUUAUUAAUUUUUUCGCGCGAGCCGAGGCAAUCCAGAAGCGAUCCUCUGGCCAGGGCUGAGUAUCUGAGGAGUCACCAACGCCCGUGGCCCCAUUAAUAAUGGAUGGCCCUCAAGCCUGCAGCAGAUGGGCCCCGACAGCCUCGGCCCCAGCGCCGCCACUUCAAGAAGCCUGCGCUGGGGCGGCUGCCCGGUCCAAGCAGCCACACAGGGAGAAGUGAAGCUCCCGAAAAUAGCGAAACAAGCCCAAGGGAGAAGGGGAACCCAGGCCUUCCUGUUUUACUGACAGAUGGCUCCACACAUUUGGAACGAACAGUGGGAAGCGAACCGGGUCCGCUCUGUCGCAACGCUCAACGUCAGGUCGGGAGCUCGACUCCUACAGAUGCCAACCAGGAUGCAAGUGCGAGAGCAAGAGGAAGAGGAGGAGGGGAGUGGGGGCAAAGGUCAACGGUGCAAAUGAUUUGUGUGUUACCUCAGCAUCUGGAGUUUGCAGACAGGACUCCUUUCUCGUGUACCUUUAUAGUUUUCGUCAGGGUGCAUGAAUGUUUGGUGGGGAGGGUUCAUGGGGUUAUCUUGACUAAAAUAAAGGCCUGAAGACGGAGUUCCUACAUUCUCAGCCACAACGCGCCUGCCUCGGCGUUUGGAAAGUAAGUUACUGGGUAGAACAAUCAGGAAGUAACUCUUCAGCUGAACCAGUGACUCUAUUUUCAAGCUGUUUUCACUCUUUACAUGCGACAGACAGUUUUGAGUUGUUCUAAUUUUAUUAGUGUCUCAUUUGUACUUCAGCUUUUCUUAUUUUAAAAAAUGGCAGCGUUGCACGUUCAGAUUCCACUUUCCCCUCCUUUAAAAACCCAAAAUGUUUUAAUUCAAGCUCAGUGUUGCCAGACUGAAACAAAGCGAACUCAGGCGUGUUGGUGGAUGAGUCUUGAAGAAAAGUGGGGGCAAAUGGAAGAUUUGUGCUGGUGGGGUGGAAGUCAUCGAGAAGACUUCUGACACAAAGCGCAACAGGACUGGAACAGUUUUUGGUCGUAGUUUUGUCAAGUGGGGAGAUGCAGGAAGAGGCUUGUGGGUUGACAGAAUUCUCGGUCUUCCUCCUGCGUGUGUGCGUGUGUGUGUAUGUGUGUGUAUGUGUGUGUUGGAUAGUGGUGAAGCACUAGGGGUAGAGUUAGAGGGGGCGGGGGGGUAAGUUUGAGGCUUCUGCUCAUUGCGAAGUGCAAAAGCUACACCAGGGAGCAGGGUGGAGAUGAGAAAACAACGAAACCGUUAACAGAUACUGAGGACCACGCCAGCGCAGUGUGGAUACUCAGGAGAAAGCUUCAAAAACUGCCUCCUCUCAACUUAAAACCUACAGAGUUUUACACUUAAAAUUAUCUGAAAAGCUUAAUAAUAAAACAAGAAGGAGAACAAAUGUACUUUUCCUGUUUUGCAAUCAGGAAACAGAAUAAAAUCCAAAUUGCUGCAGCACAAAAACACUUUAUUACCUUCAAAUAAAUUUGAAAUUUCUCCCCAAACUGAUUAAAUGUUCCUCACCUUUAUUUUGCGUUUUUUUGCACUUUCUAGGCAAGCUGAAUUAUUAAUUUUUCUCUCCCGUGGGUGCCUUUUAUUACCACCAGUUAUUAAGCUAUAACAGUCACCUUUGUUCUCCAUAUAUACACACAUGGAGAUUCUCAUCAGUAAUUCAUGAAAUGUAUGGGUGGAAGUGGGUAGAGGGUGUUAGCAGAUGUGUUCUGGGAGCCCAUGGAGGGGUGGAGGGGCGAGCAAAGGUGCUCUGAGGAGAAGUUUCCUUCAUUUGCAUCUGACACACUUCACUACUCUGCUAUUCAGACAGUACAAUCAUUUUAAUAACUGUCUGUCUUCCUGCACCCAACACACACACACACACACACACACACACCCACACACUAACACACACACAUGCACACUCUUCUGGUUCUUCUUGACAAGAAAGAUGAUGUAUCUGCAGAGAGGUUUUGCAGCACUUCACUUUCCAUGUGAGCUUUGAAAAAGCCCCAUUUGAGCAGAGGCUUCUUGAAACCAGCACCGUCUCACUGACUUCUACAGCUCGACGUUACUGCAGGCAUUCCACCUUUUGCAUCAGAGUUGAUUAUUUAAAACAAUCUUCCUGUCUGCAAACACGACCACCUCCACCUGCCACGCAGCUCUGAAAGCUGAGAAUGAGACUUUAGAGCAAAGAAUGUUUUCUUCAUCCAUUGAUUUGUGUUUUAGCCAAAACAUAAUUUCUAAAUAUUUAUUUUUAUUUUCUAUGACCAUCUAAUGGACUUUUCCCCCCUAAUGUUCGUUAUAAGUAUUCACAUUCCUGAUGGAGCAACACAAAACAUUAUGUAACUGUGAAGUUAAAAGAAAAAAGAACUAAUUUUUAUGUUUUCUUUCCUUGCAAAUACAAAUUUGAAAGGUGCGGCAGGCAUUUGUAUCUAGAAUUCUUGAGUCAAUUCUUUGCCGCAGCUAUAACUAGUUUGAGAUUGGAUGAAGAGUGUCUGUGGCAUCGAUUUCCACUGGAUCGCAGCAAUAAUUAGGUCAAGGUCGUUCUAACACAUGGAUAUGCUGGGAUGUUGUUGCUCCAGCUUGAUGUUGAAGGUCAUUGUUCAAAUCCCCACAGCAUAAUGCUGCCACCACCAUGUGCCGUUUUUGUGCUUGUAGGUCAGAAAGUUCAAUCUCAGCCACAUUUACUGUGGCUCCAAGGUCCAAAUGGGCUUUUUUCUGGCUCUCUUGCAAUUAAAUGAUUUACCUGCUGGGUCUGUAAUUAAUUAAUUCGAAGUAAUCACAUUUUGAUUGAAAACCAUAUAUCGACAAAAUAAGCAACAUUUUUAAUUCAAAAACUCUCUUUGCUGCUAAAUUACUGAAUAAACAGACAUAUGAGCUCAAAAACAAAGAUAUUUGUUGUUUUUAGUAUGUUAUUUAGGUUAUUAAACUGUCAGAUUGGUGCGAAAUGUUGUUCUAUUCAUUCAGCUUUUCAGUUUCUCAGGAACUCCUGAUCAUUCAUGGAACUUCUUUAGAAGUGUGGAUUGUGGACAUUGAAGAUGUCGGUGCUGCUGCUACGUGUUUAGCAUUGAGAUGCUAUUUGUGCUAAAAGGCUAACUCCUAUUAGCACAACUUGAACACAUUAAUGGUCUUUAAGUGUCUCCAGUCCAUCACUGGAUUGAUGUUGCUUGUGCGUCAGAUUUACAGACGUACCAGAAACGUCUGAAUACAAAGGUUCUGGCUCGAGAUUUUGAAAAGGAAAACAAAUAAAAUUUUUAUGCAAUAUAUUAAUCAAAAUUAGCACAUUAAAGUCCCAGUCAUAAAUUACACACGUAGGUACUUUAUUUACCAAUUAGAUGAUAUUUGAAGGUGGUUGGUUGUGUUGGAUUUAAUUUACAGUUAUGCAGUAGAUGGAUGUUACGUGACAAAAGUUGGAAAACUUUAAAGGAUGUUAAUACUUUUGCAAAGUGCUGUAACUUCUCUAAUGAUUAAAUUAGAGCCUGAAGCUUCCAGUUACAUCCUCAGCUUAAGGCGUUGCAAAACAAGCAGCAGUUUCACACUUUUCUCCAGUUGUGACUGUUUUUUUCCCCACAAUCCCGCUGUCCUCUGGCCCCCGGCUGCGCUCUUAUCUCAGGAGAAGCUGUGUGAGCUCGGCUGCUGAGUCACCUUUCAUGGGAGGCUGCCCUUAUCUCUGGAGAAGCACAACAUUGAAGCGGUUGGUUACAAAAGGAGGAACUUUGGGCAGGAGCAGCCUGUGGUCCGCCAUGUCUUCACGGCCAGAACAGGGAUUGCAGCAACACUUCCUCAAAGCUUCACAGGGGUCACCUGUUUCUCACUCCAACAUGAAGAGGCGUUGCCUCACAUCUGACUCCAGAAGGUCCAGCAUUCAGUGGAGCUCACGGUUCCAUCAGUGGCUGCUAACGGGCCCAGAUCAUCACCCCUCCACCACUGUGCUUCAUCCCUCCGCCGCCCCAGGUGUGUGUGCUCUGAUACGAUGUGUGAAAUCAGUUUUCUCACACUUGAGGUUUAAUUUAAAUAAUUAUACAACCCAGGAUCGUUUUUAUUAUGUUCUACUGUGCAAAACCUUAAAACUGAAAGAGGUUGUACUUUAUUUUUAGAUUUUUAAACCAUCAUUUUAAGUUGAAAUGUUUUGGUAUAAAGGCCGUCAGCAUUACGGAUCCUGAAACAAGUGAUGCUCUUUGACUUUGAUCAAUGUGAUGUUAUAUAUAUA